CCUACGGGAGGCUGCAGUGGGGAAUAUUGCACAAUGGGGGAAACCCUGAUGCAGCGACGCCGCGUGAGUGAAGAAGUAUUUCGGUAUGUAAAGCUCUAUCAGCAGGGAAGAAAAUGACGGUACCUGAUUAAGAAGCCCCGUCUAACUACGUGCCAGCAGCCGCGGUAAUACGUAGGGGGCAAGCGUUAUCCGGAUUUACUGGGUGUAAAGGGAGCGUAGACGGCAGCACAAGUCUGGAGGGAAAUGCCGGGGCUUAACCCCGGAACUGCGUUGGAAACUGGGCAGCUAGAGUGCAGGAGAGGUAAGUGGAAUGCCUGGUGUAGCGGUGAAAUGCGUAGAUAUUAGGAAGAACACCGGUGGCGAAGGCAGCUUACUGGACUGUAACUGACGUUGAGGCUCGAAAGCGUGGGGAGCGAACAGGAUUAGAUACCCCGGUAGUC
rnacentral:rRNA from 1 species